rnacentral:rRNA from 1 species
UACAGAGGGAGCAAGCGUUGUUCGGAAUUACUGGGCGUAAAGGGCGCGUAGGCGGUUCGAUAAGUCCCGUGUGAAAUCCCUCGGCUCAACUGAGGAAUGGCACGGGAAACUGACGGGCUUGAGUUCGGGAGAGGGAAGCGGAAUUCCGGGUGUAGCGGUGAAAUGCGUAGAUAUCGGAAGGAACAUCAGUGGCGAAAGCGACUUCCUGGACCAGUACCGACGUUCAGGCACGAAAGCGUGGGGAGCAAACAGG